rnacentral:rRNA from 1 species
UACGUAGGGGGCUAGCGUUGUCCGGAUUUAUUGGGCGUAAAGAGCGUGUAGGCGGCCAGGUAGGUCUGCUGUGAAAACUCGGAGGCUCAACCUCGAGACUCGGCGGAAACCAUCUGGCUAGAGUCCGGAAGAGGAGAGUGGAAUUCCUGGUGUAGCGGUGAAAUGCGCAGAUAUCAGGAAGAAACACCCUGCGAAGGCGGCUCUCUGGGACGGUACUG